rnacentral:rRNA from 1 species
CUACGGAGGGUGCAAGCGUUACUCGGAAUCACUGGGCGUAAAGGAUGCGUAGGCUGGAUGUCAAGUUGGAAGUGAAAUCCUAUGGCUUAACCAUAGAACUGCUUCCAAAACUGGCAACCUAGAGUGAGGGAGAGGCAGAUGGAAUUAGUGGUGUAGGGGUAAAAUCCGUAGAUAUCACUAGGAAUACCGAUUGCGAAGGCGAUCUGCUAGAACUCUCCUGACGCUAAGGCAUGAAAGCGUGGGGAGCAAACAGGAUUAGAAACCCCAGUAGUCC